rnacentral:rRNA from 1 species
AUUGAACGCUGGCGGCAUGCUUUACACAUGCAAGUCGAACGGUAACAGGUUAAGCUGACGAGUGGCGAACGGGUGAGUAAUGCAUCGGAACGUGCCCGAUCGUGGGGGAUAACGCAGCGAAAGCUGCGCUAAUACCGCAUACGAUCUGAGGAUGAAAGCGGGGGACCGUAAGGCCUCGCGCGAUCGGAGCGGCCGAUGUCAGAUUAGGUAGUUGGUGGGGUAAAGGCCCACCAAGCCGACGAGCGGUAGCUGGUCUGAGAGGACGACCAGCCACAGUGGGAAUGAGACACGGCCCAGACUCCUACGGGAGGCAGCAGUGGGGAAUUUUGGACAAUGUGCGAAAGCCUGAUCCAGCAAUGCCGCGUGCAGGAAGAAGGCCUUCGGGUUGUAAACUGCUUUUGUACGGAGCGAAAAGGUCCUUUCUAAUACAAGGGGCUCAUGACGGUACCGUAAGAAUAAGCACCGGCUAACUACGUGCCAGCCGCCGCCGUAA